rnacentral:rRNA from 1 species
ACGAACGCUGGCGGCGUGCUUAACACAUGCAAGUCGAACGGAAAGGCCCUGCUUUUGUGGGGUGCUCGAGUGGCGAACGGGGGAGUAACACGUGAGUAACCUGCCCUUGACUUUGGGAUAACUUCAGGAAACUGGGGCUAAUACCGGAUAGGAGCUCCUGCUGCAUGGUGGGGGUUGGAAAGUUUCGGCGGUUGGGGAUGGACUCGCGGCUUAUCAGCUUGUUGGUGGGGUAGUGGCUUACCAAGGCUUUGACGGGUAGCCGGCCUGAGAGGGUGACCGGCCACAUUGGGACUGAGAUACGGCCCAGACUCCUACGGGAGGCAGCAGUGGGGAAUAUUGCCCAAUGGGCGGAAGCCUGAUGCAGCAACGCCGCGUGCGGGAUGACGGCCUUCGGGUUGUAAACCGCUUUCGCCUGUGACGAAGCGUGAGUGACGGUAAUGGGUAAAGAAGCACCGGCUAACUACGUG